GACGAACGCUGGCGGCGUGCUUAACACAUGCAAGUCGAACGGAAAGGCCCUGCUUUUGUGGGGUGCUCGAGUGGCGAACGGGUGAGUAACACGUGAGUAACCUGCCCUUGACUUUGGGAUAACUUCAGGAAACUGGGGCUAAUACCGGAUAGGAGCUCCUGCUGCAUGGUGGGGGUUGGAAAGUUUCGGCGGAUGGGGAUGGACUCGCGGCUUAUCAGCUUGUUGGUGGGGUAGUGGAUUACCAAGGCUUUGACGGGUAGCCGGCCGGAGAGGGUGACCGGCCCCAGUGGCACUGAGCUACGGCCCAGACUCCUACGGGAGGCAGAAGUGUGGACUCUUGCCUGAUGGGCGGAAGCCUGAUGCAGCAACGCCGCGUGCGGGAUGACGGCCUUCGGGUUGUAAACCGCUUUCGCCUGUGACGAAGCGUGAGUGACGGUAAUGGGUAAAGAAGCACCGGCUAACUACGUG
rnacentral:rRNA from 1 species